rnacentral:rRNA from 1 species
AAUUGGAGGGCAAGUCUGGUGCCAGCAGCCGCGGUAAUUCCAGCUCCAAUAGCGUAUAUUAAAGUUGUUGCAGUUAAAAAGCUCGUAGUUGAAUUUCGGGAUCAAUAUUUCGGUCAUGCCGUUGGUAUGCACUGUUAUCAUUGAUUUCUCACCUUCUAAAGAACCGUAAUGCCAUUAAUUUGGUGUUACGGGGAAUUAGGACUGUUACCUUGAAAAAAUUAGAGUGUUUAAAGCAGGCUCACGCUUGAAUACAUUAGCAUGGAAUAAUGAAAUAGGACAUCCGAUUCUAUUUUGUUGGUUUCUAGGACCGAUGUAAUGAUUAAUAGGGAUAGUUGGGGGCAUUAGUAUUCAAUUGUCAGAGGUGAAAUUCUUGGAUUUAUUGAAGACUAACUACUGCGAAAGCAUUUGCCAAGGAUGUUUUCAUUAAUCAAGAACGAAAGUUAGGGGAUCGAAGACGAUCAGAUACCGUCGUAGUCUUAACCAUAAACUAUGCCGACUAGGGAUCGGAUGAUGUUAAUUUUUUAAUGACUCAUUCGGCGCCUUACGGGAAACCAAAGUGU